rnacentral:sRNA from 1 species
AAUAGGGUUGCUAUGUUUCGAACAGAUG